CCCUUAGAUGUUCUGGGCCGCACGCGCGCUACACUGACGAAGUCAGCGAGCAUGUCCUACGCCGACAGGUGCGGGGAAUCUUGUCAAACUUCGUCGUGAGGGGGAUUGAUUAUUGAAAUUCUUGAUCAUCAACGAGGAAUUCCUAGUAAGCGCAAGUCAGCAGCUUGCGUUGAUUACGUCCCUGCCCUUUGUACACACCGCCCGUCGCUACUACCGAUUGAAUGGUUUAGUGAGAUCUUCGGAUUGGCGCCACUGCGGCUCAGCAAUGGGCUCGGUGGAUGCCGAAAAGUUGAUCAAACUUGAUCAUUUAGAGGAAGUAAAAGUCGUAACA
rnacentral:rRNA from 1 species